UCAUUAACUGGACGUUACCCACAGAAGAAGCACCGGCUAACUCCGUGCCAGCAGCCGCGGUAAUACGGAGGGUGCGAGCGUUAAUCGGAAUUACUGGGCGUAAAGGGUGCGUAGGUGGUUGAUUAAGUUAUCUGUGAAAUUCCUGGGCUUAACCUGGGACGGUCAGAUAAUACUGGUUGACUCGAGUAUGGGAGAGGGUAGUGGAAUUUCCGGUGUAGCGGUGAAAUGCGUAGAGAUCGGAAGGAACACCAGUGGCGAAGGCGGCUACCUGGCCUAAUACUGACACUGAGGCACGAAAGCGUGGGGAGCAAACAGGAUUAGAUACCCUGGUAGUCC
rnacentral:rRNA from 1 species